rnacentral:rRNA from 1 species
GAUGAACGCUAGCGGCAGGCCUAAUACAUGCAAGCUGAACGGCAAGAUUUGUAGCAAUACGAGUCCUAGAGUAGCGUAAGGGUGCGUAACACGUAUGCAAUCUGCCCGCAACAGGAGGAUAGCUUAGCGAAAGUUGAGAUAAGACUCCAUAAGAUCACGAGAGGGCAUCUGAUUGUGAUUAAACUACAAGGGGUUGCGGAUGAGCAUGCGUCUGAUUAGUUAGUUGGCGGGGUAACGGCCCACCAAGACGAUGAUCUGUAGGGGAACUGAGAGGUUGGUCCCC